AACGAACGCUGGCGGCAGGCUUAACACAUGCCAGUCGAACGCACCUUUCGGGGUGAGUGGCAGACGGGUGAGUAACGCGUGGGAAUCUACCCUUCUCUACGGGAUAGCUCCGGGAAACUGGAAUUAAUACCGUAUACGUCCUGAGGGAGAAAGAUUUAUCGGGGAAGGAUGAGCCCGCGUUGGAUUAGCUAGUUGGUGGGGUAAAGGCCUACCAAGGCGACGAUCCAUAGCUGGUCUAAGAGGAUGAUCAGCCACAUUGGGACUGAGACACGGCCCAAACCCCUCCGGGAGGCGGCAGGGGGGAAUAUUGGACAAGGGGCGCGAGCCGGAACCAGCCAUGCCGGGGGAGGGAAAAAAGCCCAAGGGUUGAAAAGCCCUUUCAGUGGGGACGGUAAGGACGGGACCCACAGAAGAAGCCCCGGCGAACUUCGU
rnacentral:rRNA from 1 species